GGAUCGGAAAAUCCUUGUCUCUGGGCCACCCACCCGUGUCUCAUGCUUCAAUGGGAAACUCGGGAGAUUAGUACUUGCUUCCGCCACAGGUUCAACUAUUUCGCCUUCUUCGAUGUCACGGCGCAGCGAUUGGGAAUUCGUUCCGGAGUCCGAGGCGUAAAUCGACAGAACGUUUUCUCGUUCCUCCUCGCUGGCGACCUGCUGGCUCCAAGGUCUUCGGUCAAUGGGCUCUUCGUCGAUGUGCAAUGUGGUAUGGUGCUUAUCGUGGCAUCGACGGCAUCGAUCCCGGCUGGUGCACCUUUGUACGCGAUGCGUCAUUGAUAGGCAAUUGCUGCAAAACCGCCCGAGCAGAGACUCUCGCAAUCGUUCUUCCGGGGCCUUUGCCCGAUAUACCGGGCAUAAUCUGAUCGGGUGCUUACCAUCGCAAAGUCGGCACGCUAUCGGAUAACGAUGAGUGCGGCGUUCCGCUUUCUUUCUUAGCAUUGUAUAGCGAGUCAUUAUUACCUGAAAAUGGUUAUUUUGUCGAUGUUUCGAUCGUAAAGUCAUUGCUAUUAUUGAUAUUUAUUCUUAAUAUCAUGGUACUUAUGGUUGGGUGGCGAGAAUUACAUCAUAUAAUUAUAGAACCGUGAAUUGGCAUAUAUUACUUGCGCGCUCUAAACCCACGUUGGUGUUGGUCUAUGAUUGACGUGUUCAAUUGGUCGUGUAAGGGGUGCAUAAUAUUGCAAUAUUAUCCGAGCAUAUGAAGAUUGUGUUUGCUCCUUUAUAUACAUCUAGCGAUAAAUUUUUAUCGAUUUUGAAAGUUACACCCAUCAGUGAGCUGUCAUACUCUAGUAAGAUACACGGACUAUUAAUAUUGUAAACAAAGCGUAUUAACUACAAUUCAUAGUGAUAAGGCCAUGCUUCUGCGAUUGAGCAUAGUUAUGUAUGUUCAAUGAUACGUCUGUAGUGCUCGUGGUUGUGUUCUAUGUUGAUUGGAUGUGUUUGUGUGAGGCAAGUGAGCAGUAGAUGUCGCCGUUAAAAAGAUGCAUGUUGCCACAUACUCUAGGGGCGAGAAAUUUUACACUAAUAUCGUAAACUUCUGUACCUAACUUGGCAACAUCCUUCGAAUGAAAGGAAAUGUCAUUCAUAAUUUUCCACGAGGCCAACCGGUCCCAAACGAACAAAGGCUAAAAAGUACGUUUUACCCCUUCUCAAAAGAAAAACAGCAGAUCGAAUUCCUCAGCAAUGAGCGUAGUUAAAUAUAUUGGUCGUACAACUGAUUUUCGCGGUAAGACACUGUGGGAGAUUGUGGGAAAUCUGCGGGACUUUGGUGUUGGCCGGCUCGUAAUACGUAACAAAUUCCAACGAUAUGAGGAGCCCUGCUAUAUGCGUAUACUUAAGGUGGAAGUUACUCCACAUGAUCCUGAAAAGGACCCUAUUCGUACAGGUCCCAAACGAACAAAGGCCAAAAAGUGGAGCUACGAAAAGGUUUGCACUCUUCCAAAAAAUGAGAUUAAACGCGCAAAAUUUCGGUAUAGUUGGUCGUUCUUUGGCAAAACUAGUUAUUUAUAUACCUGCUGUUUUAAAUUACUAAUUAUUUACGUAUUAAUUACACGUAAGAAAUGCAGUGUUUACAAAAAUAUUGCGGCUCGCCGAACAGA
rnacentral:lncRNA from 1 species